CCUACGGGUGGCAGCAGUGGGGAAUAUUGGGCAAUGGGCGCAAGCCUGACCCAGCAACGCCGCGUGAAGGAAGAAGGCUUUCGGGUUGUUAACUUCUUUUCUUAGGGACGAAGAAAGUGACGGUACCUGAGGAAUAAGCCACGGCUAACUACGUGCCAGCAGCCGCGGUAAUACGUAAGUGGCAAGCGUUAUCCGGAUUUACUGGGUGUAAAGGGCGUGUAGGCGGGACUGCAAGUCAGAUGUGAAAACCACGGGCUCAACCUGUGGCCUGCAUUUGAAACUGUAGUUCUUGAGGACUGGAGAGGCAGACGGAAUUCCUGGUGUAGCGGUGAAAUGCGUAGAUAUGAGGAGGAACACCAGUGGCGAAGGCGGUCUGCUGGACAGCAACUGACGCUGAGGCGCGAAAGCGUGGGGAGCAAACAGGAUUAGAUACCCUAGUAGUC
rnacentral:rRNA from 1 species